AUUUUCGGUGGCUUCUGACACGGC
rnacentral:miRNA from 1 species